AUUGAACGCUGGCGGCAUGCCUUACACAUGCAAGUCGAACGGUAACGGGCCUUCGGGUGCCGACGAGUGGCGAACGGGUGAGUAAUGCAUCGGAACGUGUCCUUAAGUGGGGGAUAACGCAUCGAAAGAUGUGCUAAUACCGCAUAAUCUCUGAGGAGAAAAGUAGGGGAUCGUAAGACCUUAUGCUUUUGGAGCGGCCGAUGUCUGAUUAGCUAGUUGGUAGGGUAAAGGCUUACCAAGGCGACGAUCAGUAGUUGGUCUGAGAGGAUGGCCAACCACACUGGGACUGAGACACGGCCCAGACUCCUACGGGAGGCAGCAGUGGGGAAUUUUGGACAAUGGGGGCAACCCUGAUCCAGCAAUGCCGCGUGAGUGAAGAAGGCCUUCGGUUGUAACUACCUCGUCGACCGGGACGGAACUGCACUCGACCU
rnacentral:rRNA from 1 species